rnacentral:rRNA from 2 species
CCUGCUCAAUGAAAAUUCAAUAGCCGCUUUUUUAAGUGCUAAGGUAGCAUAAUCAAUUGUCUUAUAAUUAAAGAAUAGAAUGAAUGGAAAAACGAGUAAAUAACUUUAUUUAAUUUACCUAAUAAAAUUUAUAUAAAAGUAAAAAAGCUUUUUUAUAAAGAAAAGACGACAAGACCCUUUAGAACUUUACUAAAAGUUUAGCUGGGGUGGCCUAAUUAUAACAACUAAUACAUAAAAAUAUCUUAAAAUUAAAUUGAAAAAGUUACCUAAGGGAUAACAGUAUAAUUUAUUUAAAAAGCCCUAAUUUAUAAAUAAGAUUAUAACCUCGAUGUUGAAUUACUAAUCUAUUAUUAGAAAAUUAAUAAAAAGAAAGUCUGUUCGACUUAUAACAAAGUACAU